rnacentral:rRNA from 1 species
UGAGGAAUAUUGGUCAAUGGACGCAAGUCUGAACCAGCCAUGCCGCGUGAAGGAUGAAGGCCUUCUGGGUUGUAAACUUCUUUUACAGGGGAAGAAAACUAUUGUUUCUACGAUAGCCGACGGUACCCUGGGAAUAAGCACCGGCUAACUCCGUGCCAGCAGCCGCGGUAAUACGGAGGGUGCAAGCGUUAUCCGGAUUUACUGGGUUUAAAGGGUGUGUAGGCGGGUCUUUAAGUCAGUGGUGAAAUCUCCGAGCUCAACUUGGAAACUGCCAUUGAUACUAUUGAUCUUGAAUUUUGUUGAGGUGGGCGGAAUAAGUCAUGUAGCGGUGAAAUGCAUAGAUAUGACUUAGAACCCCGAUUGCGAAGGCAGCUCACUAAACAAACAUUGACGCUGAGGCACGAAAGCGUGGGGAUCAAACAGGAUUAGAUACCCCCGUAGUCC